GACGUAGGGCGCGAGCGUUGUCCGGAUUUAUUGGGCGUAAAGAGCUCGUAGGCGGCUUGUCGCGUCGACUGUGAAAACCCGCGGCUCAACUGUGGGCUUGCAGUCGAUACGGGCAGGCUAGAGUUCGGUAGGGGAGACUGGAAUUCCUGGUGUAGCGGUGGAAUGCGCAGAUAUCAGGAGGAACACCGGUGGCGAAGGCGGGUCUCUGGGCCGAUACUGACGCUGAGGAGCGAAAGCGUGGGGAGCGAACAGG
rnacentral:rRNA from 1 species